rnacentral:rRNA from 1 species
AGUGAACGCUGGCGGCAGGCCUAACACAUGCAAGUCGAACGGAUGCAGAGUGCUUGCUCCUUCUUUCGGCGGCGGAGGGGCGGGUGAUUGCUAGGAAUCUGCCAAGUUACUUUUGCUUGGGGGCUAAAGUAGGCAAACAUACCCCAUACCUCCAUAGGGCGAACGUGGGAAAGCAGGGGACCUCACGAUAUUACACGAGCCUAGGUCGGAUUAUCUAGUUGGUGGGGUAAAGGCCUACCAAGGCGACGAUCCGAAACUGGUCUGAGAGGAUGAGCAGUCACACUGGAACUGAGACACGGUCCAGACUCCUACGGGAGGCAGCAGUGGGGAAUAUUGGACAAUGGGCGAAAGCCUGAUCCAGCCAUGCCGCGUGGGUGAAGAAGGUCUUCGGAUUGUAAAGCCCUUUAAUUGGGGAGGAAGGGCAGUAGGUUAAUACCGCGCUGUUUUGACGGUACCCAAAGAAUAAGCACCGGCUAACUUCGUG